GACGAACGCUGGCGGCGUGCUUAACACAUGCAAGUCGAACGGAAAGGCCCUGCUUUUGUGGGGUGCUCGAGUGGCGAACGGGUGAGUAACACGUGAGUAACCUGCCCUUGACUUUGGGAUAACUUCAGGAAACUGGUGCUAAUACCUGAUAGGAGCUCCUGCUGCAUGGUGGGGGUUGGAAAGUUUCGGCGGUUGGGGAUGGACUCGCGGCAUAUCAGCUUGUUGGUGGGGUAGUGGCUUACCAAGGCUUUGACGGGUAGCCGGGCUGAGAGGGUGACCGGCAACAUGGGGACUGAGAUGCGGCCCAGACUCAUACGGGAGGCAGGAGUGGGUAAUAUUGCACGAUGGGCGGAAGCCUUAUGCAGCAACGCCUUGUGCGGGAUGACGGUCUUCGUGUUGUAAUCCGCUUUCGCCUGUGACGAAGCGUGAGUGACGGUAAUGGGUAAAGAAGCACCGGCUAACUCCGUG
rnacentral:rRNA from 1 species